rnacentral:misc_RNA from 1 species
CUUGGUCAUUUAGGACAGCUUGGUCAUUUAGAGGAAGUAAAAGUCGUAACAAGGUUUCCGUAGGUGAACCUGCGGAAGGAUCAUUCAUAAUAAGUGUUUUAUGGCACUUUUUAAAUCCAUAUCCACCUUGUGUGCAAUGUCAGUCGGUUUUCUUUUUCGUCAAGAAAAAAGGAUCGACCAAACAUCAACUUAUUCUAAUUGAACUUUUGUCUGAAAACUAUUAUGAAUAAACUAAUUCAAAAUACAACUUUCAACAACGGAUCUCUUGGCUCUC